rnacentral:misc_RNA from 1 species
UGGUUCUGGCAUCGAUGAAGAACGCAGCGAAAUGCGAUAAGUAAUGUGAAUUGCAGAAUUCAGUGAAUCAUCGAACCUUUGAACGCACAUUGCGCCCAUUAGUAUUCUAGUGGGCAUGCCUGUUCGAGCGUCAUUAAGUCCAUUAAGCCUCGUUGCUUAGCGUCGGGAGCCUGCCGGCCUGGCCCGCAGCUCCUCAAAACUAGUGGCGGAGUCAGCGUAUACUCUAGGCGUAGUAAUUCUUCACUCGCUUCUGUGGUUGCGCCGGCACCUGCCGUAAAACCCCCUAUUUUUAAAGGUUUGACCUCGGAUCAGGUAGGAAUACCCGCUGA